UGCCGGUUGGGACACUCAGGCUGGAACAUGCUGUACACCAGAGCACUGGGUGGCCUGGGGCAGGUCCUUGCCCUCUCUGGACCCCACUCUGUCCAUUUCUGUGAGGCGAAGGCUUGCUGCGACUCUCUCUGGACCUGUGUAUGAGCGGGCAAGGCUGAGGCCACUCCAGGGUGAGAAGAGCAAACCACGGACACCCUGCGCUUUCUGUCACUCCCUGGGGUGUUUGUCUGACCCUUCCACGGGGAGGAUUUAACUACAGUGUCUGCUUGAGGAGCAGUGGGCAGGCAGUAUGUGCUGGGUGUAUGAUGUGCAAAGGAUGGCUCGCUUCCUGGGAGAGACACAGAAAGAGCACAGUGCUACACACAACUGCGUGUGACGUGAAGGUCAGAAACCAUUUCUGGAAUUUUUCCACUUGAAACUAUUGGUUUUGGUUUUUUUGUUGUUGUUGUUUUUUUUUUUUUUUUUUUUUUUGAGACAAGGUCUCACUGUGCAGUUGGAAUUCCUCAUCCUCCUGUCCUUGCCUCCCUGGGGCUGGGAUUGCAGGAGCCUUCCACCAGAACUUGCUUCUAUUUAAUGUUAUUUGGAUCAUGGUGGACAGCAGGUCAUGGAAGCCCUAGAACACAAAACCACGGAGAAGGGAGGCUACGGUCAUUCCCAGUUCAAAGAAACAGCCAGGCUCUACGGAAGUACUUUGGGAAAAGAUGCUUCAAGACAGCCUGUUUUCCCACAGGACGCAGGCUGGAGGUGAUGGGCCCAAGCAAGGCAGGUUUAAGGGCCCCAUGCUCCUGACGCUGGGGAGGUGACCUCACUGGAGAGACUACUGCUGCCUCUGCUAUAGAGAUCUUCCCCUCUGUGUCAGGGCUCUAGACCAGGAGUUGGGGGAUUCCCAGGCCUGGAAAUUCUUGCUAAAAUAAUUCCACGCCCCACCUCAAAACCCCUUAAAUCGGUCACUCUCAGCUCCGUUUCUUGGAAGAAGUUGGCCCGUGAUCAAAAGUUCUGGAAUCCACCACAGGAAGCGGCCACUUGAGCAAGGAGAAAGGACUCUGAUUAAAGGGCCAAGCAUUCUGGGUCCCGAUCUCCCCUCCUGUAAUUACAGGCAUGUGCCAGAUGAGCCUGGAUUCAACUCCAGCUCUGCCGUUGGGAGUUGCCCGGUUCCUGCCAAAGCGGGAGCCUCGCUGAGCCCUGGCUUCCUCUUUGUGACGAGGAUUGAAGUAUCUGUCUGGCGGGUUCUCGGGAGGAUUUCAGAGGGAGGGAUGGGGCUUGCAGUACCUUGGCAUGUAAGGAUGCUGGCUCACUGCUUUGUAAGAAGCUGCUACUCACAGAGCGAGUGUCCCUUCACCCAACCUAGCAAGACACUCCAGGACACUUGAUCUUUCUGACUGCUAACAGACACAAUGGGUGAACCAGUGCUCUGAGCCACCAGUUGCUGUUACCCCACCUCUGCACCCCCAGGUCACAGCCUCUGAAACUCCUCCAGGGCCCCUCCGCCCAGAUGUCAGGUAGCCCAUGUACUUACUGAACCAUCUGUCUCUCUUGUUAAAUCUUUCUUGUGGUCCCAGGCGAUGGCUCCACCUCUGCCCCGAUGUUCCAAGGUUCCGAGUCCUUUCCCCAUCAGACUCUCCCUGUUCUCUAAGCCCCUCAGAUCCCCCCCUCUUGCCGCCUCCACCACCUCACGCCCACGUCAGCUAAGUGGCAACAGCCAUGUCUUCUCUGAUUGCCAGAUUCCAGUGUGUCCUUCCAGUUCAUUCUCUCACUCUGGACAGAGAUGCCUUCAAAAAGCAGGGCCCCUCAUCACCCCUUGAUGAGAUCACCCCAUCAUGGCCCACCCUUCAUGCUGGUUGCUGCAGGUGGGGCUCCUGGGGAGGGAGACCAAGAGGAAGAUUUGCUGGCAGAGUGCUCUUUGGGGGAGUUCUCUCAUAAUCGGUAUCUAUGGGGAGCAGAUAAAGUAGGACCAGGCCGAGGGACAGAUUGGACUUCGAAGCAAACCCCUCAAAGGCCUUUGCCUGCUUCUCCUGAAGGUCUGGAGCUGGAAUGUCUGUGUGUGCACAGGGGUGUGUGUGUUUGUGUUAAGAUACAUGUGUUCCUGUGAGUGCAUGCAUGAGUGUGUGCCAUGCAAUACACAUGUUGUUUGUGGAGAUCAGAGGUCAAUGUUGGGCGUCUUCUUCAAUUGUUCCCCAUUUAAGUUUGUUUUUCAUUUGUGCGUGUGUGUGUGCGUGCGUGCACGUGUGUGUGCAUGUGUGCGUGCAUGUGUGUGUGUGCAUGUGUGUGCAUGUGUGCAUGCAUGCGUGUGUGCUCAUAAGCUCUCACCUUGUCUCUCGUGUGGACAUGAGAGGACAGCUUAUGGGUGUCCCUUCUCCCUCUUCACCAUGUGGGUCCUGGGAUCAAAUUCAGGCUGUCAGGCUUGGCAGCAAGCCCCACCUCACCACUAAACCAUCACACUGACCUUCUACUUUAUUUCUGGAGACCAAGUCUUUCACCAGACACGGAGUUCGUUCAUUUGAAUGAGCUGACUGACAGGGAGUUCCGACCCGCCUGUCUUCUCCUUGGCACUGGGAUCACACGUGGCGUGUCAUCCUCUGCGCCUGAAUUUUACACAAAUGCUGGGGGUCCACACCCAGGUGUUUUCAGACUGGCACAGCAGGGACUUUCCAUACUGAGCCAUCUCCCCGGCCUCUAGAGUGACUUUUCAUAAUUGUCCCACAUUGAGGGAAGAGUCCUGGACCCCCACACCUCUUAUGAACCAUUUACCGGACACAAGAAGGGGAGACAACGGCAGGGAGGGGAAUUAACCUCAAACUCUGCCUCUGGAAAUCCCAGCAACUGAAGAAGGAAGGAUCCAGCCUGGAGAUGCAGAGGCGUCCGGGCUGCACCCAUGGUGACCACCACCAAAGUGCUGGGGGUGGAGCAGAAGCUUGAAACGUCUAUCGUGUAAAGCACAAAACCACUGGGCCUUCAGGCUAGGUCCUGCAUGAUUUAGUACCCCAGGCUCUGUGAGAGCUGCCCCAAACACCCUUCCCUCCUCCCUCAUAGCCUUGUUUGCCACUUGCUCCCAACUGUCUAACCGUGCUGUGCCUCUCUCAGCUUCCCAAGCUCGGCAGGCCAUUUCACACCUCUCUGCCUUUGCUUUUGCUAAUUUCAUCUGCCAGGGAUGCCUUUCAAUGGGAAAGAGAAAUCCUUUUCUCCUCUAUCAGCCAGCUCCUACUCUUCCGACAAUCCUGCCUUCCCUGAGAAGACUUCCGCUAAUUCUUUCAUGCUGAUGCUGCCACAUGCCCAGGACACACCCACGGGGCACCGAUCUGUCCGUGAGGGCCAGCACCUGGCUUCUUUCCAAUUUACAGGGCAAGCCCUAGCUACUUGGUGUCUCUGGAUGUGUGUACUAAGGUGGGAUGUCUUAGAGAAAGGCACCCAGGAAUAAGCCCACGGGUGGAGUCAGACGGCAUUGUGGCUGACAUCAUCCUUCCCCCUUUCCUCGCCGUUCCCACCACCAUCAUCUUGCCAAACCAUUCUCCCUGCGUGCCGACUACGUCCCAGGCUCGGUGCCAUGUGUGUUUCGAACACGCUUCCCAUCGGUCCAUAUUUUAUCCUCACCUUUAACCACCCUCUAAAGGGUGGUUAUUAUUGUUAUCACUGUCUUACAGGAUGGAAGGCCGAGGCUGGCUAGGGGUGGGAAUGAUCCAAGGACACCCUCCAUCACACACGCUUGGGCAGCCAGCCACAGUGACCUCAGCCCUUCUGGGUCCCUCCCGCUUACAUCACUGUCUGCUUGCCUAAAUGAUCUGCGAUACAGGGUGGAGCCGUAUGUGCAGCCGCAAGAUCUAGGAGGGGGCCUUGGGAGAGGUGGGGGAGACCAUUCGGAACCACAUCCAGCCUUCCAGACCCAACCAAGACAGGGUUUGAUUCAUCCACAAUUACUUCAUAUUAUACGUUGCAUGGAGAGCGUGUUUCCAGCCCCAUGUCUGCAAAUCUGGAACCUGCCAUCUCACAGAGAGGACUUGCGGAAGGUGUAGCUCAGCUGGUGAAGUGUUUGCAUGCACAACCUUGGUUUAACCCCUGCACCACAUAAAGUCAGGCGUGGCGGUAUACCUUACCCUCCCAGCAUUCCAGAAGUGGAGGCAGGAAGAUCACAAAUUCAAGGCCAUCCUUGGCUAUCUAAACAUCAGGUUUAUAGCCUGAGAUUCGUGAAACCUUGUCUCAAAAACAAACAAGCAAAUGAACCCCAAAGGGUAGAGAACUUUGCAAGAACACACGACCCAUCCAGCAAUAGCCAGCGCUGCAGCCUGGGGUCUGGGCUCCCUGCCAAGCUAACUGGCAGAAAUGAGCAAUCGGAGGGUGCUGAGCAGGGGUCUCCUCACUCUGAGGAGUGUGCUUCCAAAAAUUGAUGGUAAGGCUCAGAAUCUUCCAGAGAAAAUGGAUCUUGAGACCCGAGGGGUGAGGCCUCUGACCCCAAGUCAGCCUCCACAGUCAGGUGGCCAACGGAAAGCCCCGCUCUCUCUCCCCUGACUUAAGGGGUGGACCUGAAAUGCAGUAGACUCCAAACCUGGCCACAGUAGCAACGGAUGCACAAACAAGGGACAGCGGAGUUGGUGAGUGACUUCCAUCCAGACUGAUUGAAAUCAGGAGCCAUUGUGCCAACUGUGUGGAUUUUGGACAAAUGUCUGAUUACCCAAGCCUCGGUCUUCUCCUUCCACACAAUGGGAGUGAGAGCUGUCACCUGGCAGGGUUGUCACACGCACUCAGUGAGAAAAGCAUUGAAGGCAUUCAGUCGGGUCACGAGAUCUGGGGCGAGAAGCUCUUAGUGGUAGCUGCAUUAUUAUUUUGUUUGGAGCAGACACAGAUGGUGGAUUCGUCUGCGGUUCUGGUCCUCACUAGACAGGGCUGAGUCUUCUAUGCCCCUGGAGCCCAGUGUGAAUCUCUGAAGCUGGGGGAAGGGAAGCUGUGACUGUCUCACGGAUGAGAGGAGCCAAACCUGGGGGAGGCAGAAAACUUACUGAGGUCACCAGGAGUGUCGGUGACAAACCGUGAAAAAGGACCUCACCCUGAUCCCGAACCAAGCCCAGCAGAAAGACUUGGUCCCAUAGUCUCGUGGAGUAAAAAGACGAUCCUACCAACUGCUGCCCUGCCUCUGCUCCUGCUGCCCAGGUCCCGGGCAAAGCCCCCAUGACCCCAGCUGCCAGUCUGAGGAGGAAUCCUGGCUCAGGAUAGGUGUGACUACUCCGAGAUCCCAAAGCUUCACUGGCUGGGCUGGACAGGGCCUAUACCCCAGACUCAGAGACUGAGAGACAGAGACACCAGCUCAGGAGAGUAAGCUCACUUGGGAAAUUCUGGAUGGGCAGACCCCUGGCAACAGUUGUUUCUCUCUGGACAGCCCUCACUCAAUCAGCAGGAGGCCUCUGAGGGUGCACACGGGACCCUAACCGAGCACAUUCCUGGAUCAUAUAACCCCCCCACAGUAUCAUGUGCCUGUAACCCCACACAACCCCACCCCAUCCCCACGGUGCCAUUGCAAGUGCUGUCCUCUGCCCAGAAGCUGCCCUUGCCUUGUGCCUCUAAUUCUUGCUCCUCUUUGGUUUCUCAGCAGGGUUCUCUACUUCCCACGCAAGUCAACAGCUGCUGCCAGCUCUCGCAUCCCCAGCCUGGUGCUUCUCGGGGACCAGGUCACUCUAAGAGUCACUGUGUCUGUGUCUCUGUCUUGCAUCAGAUAGAAGUCUCUAGAAGGCAGAAGUGAGCUCCGACACAAAGCAACAGUCCCAGAUGCGUUAAAGGUUGACUACAAAGGAUCUUCGGCUCCCUCCCUCCUUACCCUCUUCCCCCAAAGACCGCUUGAACACCUACUGUGGGCCAGGCUGCAGGAAAAGAGUAAAGUCUUGUGUGCAUGUGUAUUGUUUGACACGGUCAGGGCCAUGACAAAGACCAGUACCUCAGUCCCAGGUUGGAGUUCCAGGACUCAGGUCGUGGACGGUCUCAGCACCACGUUCUGAGUGCAGGAGAUAGGACAGUGAUCAACAGAGUUCCUGCAACAUGGUCGUCAUUCUCCUAAGGGGAAGCGGAGGAGAGACCACAGAAACUAUGAAAAUCCUGACACAUUUGGGUGGUAACAGACACUAGAAAGUAUAAGAGCGUUGGGAGAACCGAGGGCUGCGGGCUCAGGUCUGUUCACCAUCCUCUCAGGCUGCUCAGAGCUGCACGGGGAACGCUGUGAGCAGGAAGCUCUGGUCCCUGGAUGUGCCAGACAGCCCCUACCCACAGCACACUUCCUGGCUCUCCAGGAAUUUGACUCAGCAACCGUUCUGAGGAGUCAGCUGUGAGCCGAUCACAAUAGAUACCAUUAUGGAGGGCCUUGGGAGCCCCAUGGGUGGAGAUGACCUUCCCAGUACAGAAGCCUCUGUCCGUCUGAGCAUGACUAGUCUCCUCUGAAGGAGGGCCCAACGUCACACAGCCCACACUAGCCCAGCUAGUACUUGACUCUUGGAUCCCACUGUCUCCCUACCCCAUAGCCUCCCUAAGACUUGAAGCGACUUGUAAGCAGUCUGUCUGGUGGUGCACAGAGUCAGGGUGUGUCUGUGUAGCGAGGUGCUGAUCCCAGUCAAGAUUGCUGAGUGGGGUGCACACUAGCCCCUCCUGAAGCUUGGGGGUGGGCAUGCUCACACCAGGAGUCCUCUCUACCCCUCCAUGACAACUGUGCCCUAUGCCAAGACGGCCUAUGAACCAUGAUAGGUUUGCUCUGAACUUGGGCAUAGGUGAAGGCAGUUAUGCACCCAGCACCCAACUGACCUGGCUGGAAGCCCAGGUCCAAGGCCAGGGCUGGGCUGAGGGCAGGGUUAGCUGCCAAUCAGGGCAUUAGAUGAGGGUGGAGUCAAGGAUAGGGAAUCAUGGAUUCAUGCUGAUACAGAAUGACUCUGCAGUAUUUCAGGUCUCUUCUCCCCAGCUGCUGUUCCUGUUCUUGGGACAUAAACAAGGAACUUUCGCCGAGGCCCUACUAUGCACCAGGCCUCUUCUUAGGCAUUUUCUGGCCUCCUCUGCCAAUGCAGAGUGGAAGGAGUUGCCACGUAGGCGUUCUGGCUUGUAAGUGCCUUCCCGUCCCUGUGUACCUGAAGGCUUGAACAACAGAAUUGUGUUACCUUAAUGUCCUGGAGGGCCAGGUGUCCAGGACUCAGCUGGCUUGGUUUCUCGAGCCCUCACUUCAUGACAUGUAGACGCCACCUUUAUAGUUACAUGGCUUUCAACACGUAGAUCCACAUGCUCGCCCUAGGAGGACACCAGUAACACAGAAUCAAGGCCCAGCCCGUUCAACUGAUUGUCACUGGUACCUCUCCCCAGAUAGUCACGUUCCAAAAUUCUCUAGGGCCUUUAGGAGAGACUGGGGGGUGGGGAAGGGGUCACAGUCUGCCUAUAAUAAUGAGAGACAGCCAGGCUUUGAACAAGGGUCUUUUAGAUUCCUCUUUGGUCCACCCCUUUUCCCUUGUACCCAAACACUGCUUGCUGGCCUGUGCGCGCGUGUCAAUCCAUACAUGUGACUUCAUCCACAGGUGCCUCAGAGUGAGCACCAGGAGGACUGUGAGGCUGGGGGUUGGGGGUGGGGAAUGCUCACACCAGGAGUCAGGAGGGACAGAAGGGCGUGAACCUGACCUCCCCUCCACCCACUAACACCCUGUAAGUCUGUCAAGUUGGGAGCGUAGGCCCCAGCCCCUCGCAUCUAUCCCAGCCCCUAGGCCUGGUCUGGACUCCAAAUCCCAGCAAGCCAGGUCCUGACCCCUCCCUGGGGGUGGGAUCAGGACCACUUUUUCCCCAGCGUAUUUAAAUGAGCUCCCAAAAGAGGAACACGUGGUCCCUUUUCCUUCCUCUCGGUGGUUCCGUUCCCGCGUCUUCCUGGUUCUCCCUCGGGGCCACCCGAGAGCGCAGAAUUCCCAUUAAACCUGGAUAUUUCUUGCUU